AAAAAUUAUUUUUUUUAUUUUUUAAAAAAUAAUGCUUAGUUUUAUAUUGAACAUAAUUUAUUAAAACAUUGAUAACAAAAAUAACUUAGUAGAAACAUCUCCCUAGUACCUUUCUAAUCAUAUAUAACAUUUUUUUUUUUUUAUAAAUGUUGUUUUAGUUCAUACUUUUUUUGUUUUCUUUACAUUGAAAGUAAUUUUUUUUUUUUUUUUUUUUUUUUUAUGAUAAUAUUUUACAUCAUUAUUUCUAGAUUUAAAUAUAUAUUUGUUCUAUUGCUUAUUAAUAAAAUUAUAUAACGACACAAUUUAUAUUUUUAAAAAUAUAUAAGUUAAAAUUUAACUAAAAAAAAAAAAAACUAUGGUAUAAUGUAUAAAAACCAUUUAGUAACGCGUAAAACUAUUAAAAAGUAUUAACUAAAGUCAUUAUUAAAUCGCAUUUUUAUGAUAAAAGAAUGCUUACUAAAAUUUAUAAAAUAAUUAAUGUUUCAUUUUUUAUAUGGGCAUGGACUAAUAACAGCAAAGCUUGCCUGGAUAAUAUAUUUACCGCAAACUAUAGUAGAUCACUGGCUCAACAUGAUAUUUCGCCAAACGUACGGAAUGAUUAUUCUUAUUCAGCGCAUAAUGACAAUAACCACUUUUUUAACUAUUUUGAACAAUAUAUGAUUAGUGAUAAAGAGUCAAAUAAGGAUGCUCUUAAAAUUAAAGAAUAUAAAAAUAACAAAGCAAUUUAUUUAACCAAUAUUAAAAAUGAAUUAACUAAAAUAUUAGGUAACCGACAUGAACCUCUAAUAAAGAAUACACUAAAAAAAAAUCAAAACAUACAAGAUAAGGAUUUACUAGAAAUAUAUGACCUUAAUAAACAUGCCAUUGCAAGUGAAGAUUAUUUACAAAUUAUAUAUGAAAGUUGUGAGUUACUGAAAAAUGAGCACUCUUAUAAUAAUGAACAUGCUGAAAUAUAUUACGACUCGAUAUUAUACUUAUUGAACAAAUAUUUCUUUCUUACUAACAGUAAAAAAGAUUUUAAAGAACGCCUUAGGCACUUACAACAAGUUGGUGAGGAACAACUAAUAUUUAAAAAAAAUAAAUACAAAUUCAAAAUGAAAUAUUUAAAUAUAUUUAAGCUCAAUAAUAAAAUAAAUAAAGAAUUGAAAACUAUGAUAUUGGAACUAAUACUAAAGGAUGAAAUUGGUGCAACUGCACGCAAACCAUUUAAAUAUAGAGCUAAGCUUGUUAGCUAUGCAUUAAUGAAUCCAAUUUUAGUAUUUAUAAUUUUAGUUAUGGCCAUCCUAUUGGGGGGAUAUCAUUUGGUGAUACCAUUAUUGGGAGUGUUCCUAUUAACGUAUGUACAUUCUUUAUAUAAAGUUUAUAGAUACAAAAAAUCCAUACAAGGAAUUAUUCAAGGGUCAAAACUAUCAAUCAGAGAAAAUUUUAAUUAACAAUAAGUACCAUAAAAAAUUUAUAACGCAAUAAAAUAAUUGUUCCAUAAUAAUUUUAAUAUUGU
rnacentral:lncRNA from 1 species